UUUCAGAAAAGUUUUGUAAAUUUGUAUUCUACCCACAGGAAUUCAUAUGACCAUAAAAAAAAAUUUUUUUUUUUUUUUGCCUUAACUUUGUUUAA